rnacentral:rRNA from 1 species
CAUUAAAUCAGUUAUCGUUUAUUUGAUAGUACCUUACUACUUGGAUAACCGUGGUAAUUCUAGAGCUAAUACAUGCUAAAAACCUCGACUUCGGAAGGGGUGUAUUUAUUAGAUAAAAAACCAAUGCCCUUCGGGGCUCCUUGGUGAUUCAUAAUAACUUAACGAAUCGCAUGGCCUUGUGCCGGCGAUGGUUCAUUCAAAUUUCUGCCCUAUCAACUUUCGAUGGUAGGAUAGUGGCCUACCAUGGUUUCAACGGGUAACGGGGAAUUAGGGUUCUAUUCCGGAGAGGGAGCCUGAGAAACGGCUACCACAUCCAAGGAAGGCAGCAGGCGCGCAAAUUACCCAAUCCCGACACGGGGAGGUAGUGACAAUAAAUACUGAUACAGGGCUCUUUUGGGUCUUGUAAUUGGAAUGAGUACAAUUUAAAUCCCUUAACGAGGAACAAUUGGAGGGCAAGUCUGGUGCCAGCAGCCGCGGUAAUUCCAGCUCCAAUAGCGUAUAUUAAAGUUGUUGCAGUUAAAAAGCUCGUAGUUGAACCUUGGGCCUGGCUGGCCGGUCCGCCUCACCGCGUGCACUGGUCCGGCCGGGUCUUUCCUUCUGGGGAGCCGCAUGCCCUUCACUGGGUGUGUCGGGGAACCAGGACUUUUACUUUGAAAAAAUUAGAGUGUUCAAAGCAGGCCUAUGCUCGAAUACAUUAGCAUGGAAUAAUAGAAUAGGACGUGUGGUUCUAUUUUGUUGGUUUCUAGGACCGCCGUAAUGAUUAAUAGGGAUAGUCGGGGGCAUCAGUAUUCAAUUGUCAGAGGUGAAAUUCUUGGAUUUAUUGAAGACUAACUACUGCGAAAGCAUUUGCCAAGGAUGUUUUCAUUAAUCAGUGAACGAAAGUUAGGGGAUCGAAGACGAUCAGAUACCGUCGUAGUCUUAACCAUAAACUAUGCCGACUAGGGAUCGGGCGAUGUUAUCUUUUUGA